GGGUUGUGAGGUUAAGCGACUAAGCGUACACGGUGGAUGCCCUGGCAGUCAGAGGCGAUGAAGGACGUGCUAAUCUGCGAUAAGCGUCGGUGAGGUGAUAUGAACCGUUAUAACCGGCGAUUUCCGAAUGGGGAAACCCAGUGUGUUUCGACACACUAUCAUUAACUGAAUCCAUAGGUUAAUGAGGCGAACCGGGGGAACUGAAACAUCUAAGUACCCCGAGGAAAAGAAAUCAACCGAGAUUCCCCCAGUAGCGGCGAGCGAACGGGGAGGAGCCCAGAGCCUGAAUCAGUGUGUGUGUUAGUGGAAGCGUCUGGAAAGGCGCGCGAUACAGGGUGACAGCCCCGUACACAAAAAUGCACAUAUUGUGAGCUCGAUGAGUAGGGCGGGACACGUGGUAUCCUGUCUGAAUAUGGGGGGACCAUCCUCCAAGGCUAAAUACUCCUGACUGACCGAUAGUGAACCAGUACCGUGAGGGAAAGGCGAAAAGAACCCCGGCGAGGGGAGUGAAAAAGAACCUGAAACCGUGUACGUACAAGCAGUGGGAGCCUCUUAAUGGGGUGACUGCGUACCUUUUGUAUAAUGGGUCAGCGACUUAUAUUCUGUAGCAAGGUUAACCGAAUAGGGGAGCCGAAGGGAAACCGAGUCUUAACUGGGCGUUAAGUUGCAGGGUAUAGACCCGAAACCCGGUGAUCUAGCCAUGGGCAGGUUGAAGGUUGGGUAACACUAACUGGAGGACCGAACCGACUAAUGUUGAAAAAUUAGCGGAUGACUUGUGGCUGGGGGUGAAAGGCCAAUCAAACCGGGAGAUAGCUGGUUCUCCCCGAAAGCUAUUUAGGUAGCGCCUCGUGAAUUCAUCUCCGGGGGUAGAGCACUGUUUCGGCAAGGGGGUCAUCCCGACUUACCAACCCGAUGCAAACUGCGAAUACCGGAGAAUGUUAUCACGGGAGACACACGGCGGGUGCUAACGUCCGUCGUGAAGAGGGAAACAACCCAGACCGCCAGCUAAGGUCCCAAAGUCAUGGUUAAGUGGGAAACGAUGUGGGAAGGCCCAGACAGCCAGGAUGUUGGCUUAGAAGCAGCCAUCAUUUAAAGAAAGCGUAAUAGCUCACUGGUCGAGUCGGCCUGCGCGGAAGAUGUAACGGGGCUAAACCAUGCACCGAAGCUGCGGCAGCGACGCUUAUGCGUUGUU
rnacentral:rRNA from 1 species